rnacentral:rRNA from 1 species
GUGGGGAAUAUUGGGCAAUGGGCGCAAGCCUGACCCAGCAACGCCGCGUGAAGGAAGAAGGCUUUCGGGUUGUAAACUUCUUUUACCAGGGACGAAACAAAUGACGGUACCUGGUGAAUAAGCCACGGCUAACUACGUGCCAGCAGCCGCGGUAAUACGUAGGUGGCGAGCGUUAUCCGGACUUAUUGGGUGUAAAGGGCGUGUAGGCGGGACAGCAAGUCAGAUGUGAAAACCAGAGGCUCAACCUCUGGCCUGCAUUUGAAACUGUUGUUCUUGAGUGUCGGAGAGGUAAUCGGAAUUCCGUGUGUAGCGGUGAAAUGCGUAGAUAUACGGAGGAACACCAGUGGCGAAGGCGGAUUACUGGACGAUAACUGACGCUGAGGCGCGAAAGCGUGGGGAGCAAACAGGAUUAGAUACCCCAGUAGUCC